GGAAUCACACAGCAUCGCUUUCUCUAUAUUCUUUUAUUUAAGGUCAUCAGAGCUCAUUGCCCAGGUCUAAGAAGAGAAACAGACUCUACCUCUUUAGGGGAAAGUAGCAAGUUCUGCAGGAAUGUGUGGGACUGGAAAUAUGAACAUGGCCAUUUUGGGAAAAUACAACCUGGCACAGUAAGUCCUCUUCAUCUCUGUCUGUACCACAUAUCUGCAGAGCAAAUACGGAAAAUUGGCCAGAUCCUCUCAAUUGCCCAGCUGAAUGUUCACUGUAGCCAAUACAAAUAGUAUAAAAUGGGAAUUGGGCGUCUCUGAGUUCUGGCCAAGAUGGAGGCGUAAGUAGAAACCCUUCACUUCCUCACACAACCAAAAGGAGGAUAACAACCAAUAUCACCAGAAAAUCAAACUGCAUGGAACUCCCACAACCAAGGAAUUAAAGAAAAAAUCAACCAGAACAGUCAGACUGGUAAGGCGGACCCCAUGGGCUGACUCAAAAAAAA